AUUGAACGCUGGCGGCAGGCCUAACACAUGCAAGUCGAACGGUAACAGGAAGCAGCUUGCUGCUUCGCUGACGAGUGGCGGACGGGUGAGUAAUGUCUGGGAAGCUGCCUGAUGGAGGGGGAUAACUACUGGAAACGGUAGCUAAUACCGCAUAAUGUCGCAAGACCAAAGAGGGGGACCUUCGGGCCUCUUGCCAUCGGAUGUGCCCAGAUGGGAUUAGCUUGUUGGUGGGGUAACGGCUCACCAAGGCGACGAUCCCUAGCUGGUCUGAGAGGAUGACCAGCCACACUGGAACUGAGACACGGUCCAGACUCCUACGGGAGGCAGCAGUGGGGAAUAUUGCACAAUGGGCGCAAGCCUGAUGCAGCCAUGCCGCAUGUAUGAAGAAGGCCUUCGGGUUGUAAAGUACUUUCAGCGGGGAGGAAGGGAGUAAAGUUAAUACCUUUGCUCAUUGACGUUACCCGCAGAAGAAGCACCGGCUAACUCCGUG
rnacentral:rRNA from 1 species